GAUGAACGCUGGCGGCGUGCUUAACACAUGCAAGUCGAACGAAGCACUUUAUUUGAUUUCCUUCGGGACUGAUUAUUUUGUGACUGAGUGGCGGACGGGUGAGUAACGCGUGGGUAACCUGCCUUGUACAGGGGGAUAACAGUUGGAAACGGCUGCUAAUACCGCAUAAGCGCACGGCAUCGCAUGAUGCAGUGUGAAAAACUCCGGUGGUAUAAGAUGGACCCGCGUUGGAUUAGCUGGUUGGUGAGGUAACGGCCCACCAAGGCGACGAUCCAUAGCCGACCUGAGAGGGUGACCGGCCACAUUGGGACUGAGACACGGCCCAAACUCCUACGGGAGGCAGCAGUGGGGAAUAUUGCACAAUGGGCGAAAGCCUGAUGCAGCGACGCCGCGUGAGCGAAGAAGUAUUUCGGUAUGUAAAGCUCUAUCAGCAGGGAAGAUAAUGACGG
rnacentral:rRNA from 1 species